UACAGAGGUGGCAAGCGUUGUUCGGAAUUACUGGGCGUAAAGGGCGAGUAGGUGGCCAUCUAAGUCAGACGUGAAAUCCCUCGGCUUAACCGGGGAACUGCAUCUGAUACUGGAUGGCUUGAGAUUGGGAGAGGGAUGCGGAAUUCCAGGUGUAGCGGUGAAAUGCGUAGAUAUCUGGAGGAACACCGGUGGCGAAGGCGGCAUCCUGGACCAACACUGACGCUGAGGAGCGAAAGCCAGGGGAGCAAACGGG
rnacentral:rRNA from 1 species